rnacentral:rRNA from 1 species
UACGAAGGGUGCAAACGUUGCUCGGAAUUACUGGGCGUAAAGGGCGCGUAGGCGGCCUUCUAAGUCAGACGUGAAAUCCCUCGGCUCAACCGGGGAACUGCGUCUGAGACUGGAAGGCUUGAAUCCGGGAGAGGGAUGUGGAAUUCCAGGUGUAGCGGUGAAAUGCGUAGAUAUCUGGAGGAACACCGGUGGCGAAGGCGGCAUCCUGGACCGGUAUUGACGCUGAGGCGCGAAAGCCAGGGGAGCAAACGGG